GCGAAUAUGAUGUAGUGGCAGCAUAACUGCUUCUCAAGCCAUUCGGGCGGGUUCAAAUCCCGCUAUCCGUUCCG
rnacentral:tRNA from 1 species